UUAUGUUCUCCUCUUAAGGAGGAGCUAAGAGGGAAGCAGGUGUAAGUCCUGCACGGUCCCGCCACUGUAAAUGAGGAGUUCUUCUCUAAGGCACAGCCACCCACUGGGAAACCGGGAAGGGAGAGAAGGAUGAUGAUUCACGAGUCAGGAGACCUGCAUAAU
rnacentral:ncRNA from 1 species